UAUGUAGCCUCAAGUGAUGUGAGACUACCCCCUAAAUUUAAGCAUAA
rnacentral:rRNA from 1 species